rnacentral:rRNA from 1 species
GAUGAACGCUGGCGGCGUGCCUAAUACAUGCAAGUCGAGCGAACAGACGAGGAGCUUGCUCCUCUGACGUUAGCGGCGGACGGGUGAGUAACACGUGGAUAACCUACCUAUAAGACUGGGAUAACUUCGGGAAACCGGAGCUAAUACCGGAUAAUAUAUUGAACCGCAUGGUUCAAUAGUGAAAGACGGUUUUGCUGUCACUUAUAGAUGGAUCCGCGCCGCAUUAGCUAGUUGGUAAGGUAACGGCUUACUAAGGCGACGAUGCGUAGCCGACCUGAGAGGGUGAUCGGCCACACUGGAACUGAGACACGGUCCAGACUCCUACGGGAGGCAGCAGUAGGGAAUCUUCCGCAAUGGGCGAAAGCCUGGCGGAGCAACGCCGCGUGAGUGAUGAAGGUCUUCGGAUCGUAAAACUCUGUUAUUAGGGAAGAACAAAUGUGUAAGUAACUAUGCACGUCUUGACGGUACCUAAUCAGAAAGCCACGGCUAACUACGU